rnacentral:rRNA from 1 species
GACGAACGCUGGCGGCGUGCUUAACACAUGCAAGUCGAACGGAAAGGCCCUGCUUGCAGGGUACUCGAGUGGCGAACGGGUGAGUAACACGUGGGUGAUCUGCCCUGCACUUCGGGAUAAGCCUGGGAAACUGGGUCUAAUACCGGAUAGGAGCCAUUUUUAGUGUGAUGGUUGGAAAGUUUUUUUCGGUGUAGGAUGAGCUCGCGGCCUAUCAGCUUGUUGGUGGGGUAAUGGCCUACCAAGGCGGCGACGGGUAGCCGGCCUGAGAGGGUGGACGGCCACAUUGGGACUGAGAUACGGCCCAGACUCCUACGGGAGGCAGCAGUGGGGAAUAUUGCACAAUGGGCGCAAGCCUGAUGCAGCGACGCCGCGUGGGGGAUGACGGACUUCGGGUUGUAAACUCCUUUCGCUAGGGACGAAGCUUUUUGUGACGGUACCUAGAUAAGAAGCACCGGCUAACUACGUG